rnacentral:tRNA from 1 species
UAUAUAAUAGUUUAAAUUUGAACUUGAAAUUUUUAAUAUUCUAAAAAAUAAAAUUUAUCCACGUAAAUAUAAAAUCAUUUUUAUUAUAUAAUUAAAUAUAUUUCAUAUUUUAUUUUAUAUUUUGAUAAAUUAUAUAAAACAUUGGCGUUUUUAGAUAUAGAUAUAAAAAACUACAAAAAUUAAAUUAAUAUAAAAACUUCAAAUAUUUUUUCAAAAAACUUAAAUAU